rnacentral:rRNA from 1 species
AUACGGAGGGUGCAAGCGUUAUCCGGAUUCACUGGGUUUAAAGGGUGCGUAGGCGGGCAGAACAGUCAGUGGUGAAAUCUCCGAGCUUAACUCGGAGACUGCCGUUGAUACUAUUUGUCUUGAAUAUUGUGGAGGUAAGCGGAAUAUGUCAUGUAGCGGUGAAAUGCAUAGAUAUGACAUGGAACACCAAUUGCGAAGGCAGCUUACUACACAACGAUUGACGCUGAGGCACGAAAGCGUGGGUAGCGAACAGGAUUAGAUACCCUGGUAGUCCACGCCCUAAACGAUGAUUACUCGACAUACGCGAUACACAGUGUGUGUCCAAGCGAAAGCAUUAAGUAAUCCACCUGGGAAGUACGACCGCAAGGUUGAA